rnacentral:rRNA from 1 species
CGCUAGUAAUCGCGGAUCAGAAUGCCGCGGUGAAUACGUUCCCGGGUCUUGUACACACCGCCCGUCACACCAUGGGAGUCGGGAAUGCCCGAAGCCGGUGGCCCAAUCGAAAGAAGGGAGCCGUCGAAGGCAGGCCGGAUGACUGGGGUGAAGUCGUAACAAGGUAUC